rnacentral:lncRNA from 1 species
UAGCUGAUGAAUAACUAAUUUCUUACAUACACUUCUUAAUAGGUUUUAUAUUAUGGCAUUUGUUGUUUGUUUUUUUUUUUUUUGGACAAAGGCAUUUGCUGUUAUGUAGUUAAACGUGCAACCAGACUAUUAACUAACGAAUUAUUCCGUUAUUUAGUAAAAAGAUAUAGAGAAUAAUGGAAUCAGAAACUAUACUGUAAAAUUUGUGUCAGAGGUCUUAGAACCAUCAAAAUGGUGACCAUAUAGUAUAAAAGCUCUCUGCUUAAAAUAAAAUAAAAGUUCAAAGAUUCUUC